UUACAGACAGUGUCGUCAGAGCUCAUCAGUUGCAUUCUGGCAUUUGGCGAGCGCGAAACGAUGAAGAUUAAGGCAGCGAUUCUCCUCUUUGUGAUGGCUCUAGCCAUGGCUGCAGGCAUCGUGGCACCGGACUGUCCCAGGUGGUCCAAGUGCUGGAAGGAUUUCCAGUACGGCAGGAUCAUUUACCGCUAGUCGGCGCACACAUACGUGUACUUCUACUAUAGAAUAAUUUAUGCCUAAUCACAGUCGCCAUUAAAGCCUUUCUCCA